UACGGUGGGAGCAAGCGUUGCUCGGAUUUACUGGGCGUAAAGGGCGCGUAGGCGGCCACUGCAAGUCAGUUGUGAAAUCUCCGGGCUUAACCCGGAAAGGUCAACUGAUACUGCAGGGCUAGAGUGCAGAAGGGGCAACUGGAAUUCUCGGUGUAGCGGUGAAAUGCGUAGAUAUCGAGAGGAACACCUGCGGCGAAGGCGGGUUGCUGGGCUGACACUGACGCUGAUGUGCGAAAGCCAGGGGAGCGAACGGG
rnacentral:rRNA from 1 species